rnacentral:snoRNA from 1 species
CUUCAGUGAUGAUACGAUGAUGAGUCGGAAUGGGACGCAGUCUGUCUGGGUUCAGUUCCUCAGAGCAGUGAGGG